CAAGAAAUAGCUUAUUUUAAAGCUGUUUAUUUACAUUAAGCCGAAAUUAACUUUAUUUUUCUUGA
rnacentral:tRNA from 1 species